AUUGAACGCUGGCGGCAGGCCUAACACAUGCAAGUCGAACGAGUUGCGGACGGGUGAGUAAUGUCUGGGAAACUGCCCGAUGGCGGGGGCUAACUACUGGAAACGGUAGCUAAUACCGCAUACCAUCGGAUGUUCCCAGAUGGGAUUAGCUAGUAGGUGGGGUAACGGCUCACCUAGGCGACGAUCCCUAGCUGGUCUGAGAGGAUGACCAGCAACACUGGAACUGAGACACGGUCCAGACGCCUAUGGGAGGCAGCAGUGGGGAAUAUUGCAGAAUGGGCGCAAGCCGGAUGCAGCCAUGCCGCGUGUAUGAAGAAGGCAUUCGGGUUGUAAAGUAAUUUCAGCGAGGAGGCGUUACUCGCAGAAGAAGCACCGGCUAACUCCGUGCCAGCAGCCGCGGGAAUUC
rnacentral:rRNA from 1 species